rnacentral:rRNA from 1 species
UUGCCAGCCCGCUCAGAAACUUAAAGGAAUUGACGGGGGCCCGCACAAGCGGAGGAGCAUGUGGUUUAAUUCGAUGAUACGCGAGGAACCUUACCUGGGCUCGAACGUAAGAUGACUGUAGGUGAAAGCUUACAUCUCUUCGGAGCAUUUUACGAGGUGCUGCAUGGUUGUCGUCAGCUCGUGCCGUGAGGUGUCGGGUUAAGUCCCAUAACGAGCGCAACCCCUACCUUUAGUUGCCAUCAGGUUAAGCUGGGGACUCUAAAGGAACUGCCUACGCAAGUAGUGAGGAAGGCGGGGAUGACGUCAAAUCAGCACGGCCCUUACGUCCAGGGCUACACACGUGCUACAAUGGCCGAUACAGAGGGCAGCUACCUGGUGACAGGAUGCAAAUCUCCAAAGUCGGUCUCAGUUCGGAUCGGAGUCUGCAACCCGACUCCGUGAAGUUGGAUUCGCUAGUAAUCGCGCAUCAGCCAUGGCGCGGUGAAUACGUUCCCGGGCCUU